GUUUGUUCGUGUCGGGGACCAAAGUGGGGUUGUUACACUGGUACACGUGUUAACAAUAACUCAGGCUUUUAUUUGCCCUGUUUCACCAGCACAGCUGCUCUUGGUUUUCCUGAUGGCCCCACCCAGGGACACUUGGAACACGAGCAGACACACAGACUGAAGACAAUUCCAGAGCCUCUGGAUGAUCCAGAUUCCAGCCCUUUGCAGGUCAGUCCACCAGCACGUUCAGCGAAGCCAUUUCAGUGUUCUGAAGAAAUGAAUGCAUGGAGAAGCAAAGGCAACAGAGACUUAGUGUGAAUGUAUAAUGACUCCUCCCCACUGGCAGGAAUCCCGGGAUUUUGGGCUCCAUGGCAGCAGUUUCCACCAUUCCCUUUGGACACAACCUGCCCGGAGGGUACAGCAGAACCACGGGGGGCCAGGACACUCCUCUGCAUCACCUGCUUUGCCAGACAGCUCCCAAGGGGGACCCUGAUGGAGCUCAGCAAGCUCUGGGAAUGGAAUAACAUGAAGGAAAGAACCCACGGAUCAUUUACCCAAGUGCUGUCUCUCUGACAUCCUCCUGCGCGUCCACGCCCCGGGAUUCAUCCCAACAUUCGGAGCAUUUUAAGCCCAGGUUAAACAGAAAACCAUUACUGGGUAGGGUAGAAUUGCACUGUGGCUAUUUUUGAAUCCUGCUGUCUCAGACAAAUGUAAUGAAUCAGUUGAUGUCACCUCAAUUACCACGUUAGCUCUAAUCAACGGAAUUGCUCUUCCCAUCCACUCCUUGUAUGGAACUCUCUGAAUUAGAUUUUCCAGUGGACAAACCCACCCUCUGGCAGACUGCAAGGGUCAGGAUUUGACAGAAUAAGGCUGGAUGACUCUAUUUUAAUCGAAUAUCAGAUCAUUUUAAUGGUACAGGAGGCAUUUCACAGCAAUUCAUAGUGAUGGUUCAGUGUUUAAUUGGGAAGAAGUGUUUAUGUGCAAAAGCUACACCAAACAUGGGGAGGGAUCAUUAGACAGCUCCAGAAAUACUGCCUGGAAUUAAGGUAGAUUCCAGUUGCAGCACAAAUUUCCAAAGGUUUCUAGUGUUGUCAUCUUAGCCUGACAUUCCUUGCUGCACACCCCAAGAACCGGUGGGUGAGGAUGAGCAGAAUGCCUUGAGAAGGGUUCCUGAGUACACAUGGACAGGGCAAAGGGAGCGUGGAGAGGGUUUGUUCCCUCCUCCUCCCUGGGUCUAGGAACCCUUCCAUAUGCUGUGUUCUAUUUAUUAUUUCUGCAUUGCAUCAGGAGGGAAAUAUUCACACUGAGCCACAGGGAUUAAAGACUGAAGCUCUAGAGCAGUCGGAUCACAUCCGUCAUAUCCAGCUGUUUUCAAUUCCAACACCUCACACCUGCUUUUAUUUAUUAUUCCUGGGCUAGACAAGACAGGGCUCAUUUUUCAGUCCUUACAAGCUUUCUUAGGAAAGACACAAAUCAGUCUAUUCCUUCCCCUUGUGCCUCUGCAAGAGAACUUUAAAGCAAAGCCCUGACACGGCGAGGACCUGACCCACAGGAGCCACUCACACCCCAGGCUGGACAGCUCCCUGUCCCCUCCCAUGGGGACAACAUCCCAGUGGAACAGGAACACCAUCAGCCACAAAACUGUGUUAGCACAGCCCCUGAACUCCCCUCACUCCCACAGAUUUCAGCUGCCUUGUCUUCACUUGCACUGGAAAUGGAGAGGUUUGGGUGCUGGUGAAUCCUUCAUGCAACACUUUAAGCAGCAGGUUCCCACUUUUGCUCACUUCCAGCUUCCAUCCCAGGGAGCCUGUUUGCUGCCAACCCCUCUGAAUUGCCUUCCUGUUCCCUGUCAGGAGAUCACACUGCCCAGGCAUUUCAUUGUCCUUUAUCAUGGAGUCAUUUUUCCAGAAAGGGACCCAGAAAUUGUUCCUUUU